UACGUAGGGUGCAAGCGUUGUCCGGAAUUAUUGGGCGUAAAGAGCUCGUAGGCGGUUUGUCGCGUCGGCUGUGAAAACCUGAGGCUCAACCUCGAGACGUCGGCGGAAACCAUCUGGCUAGAGUCCGGAAGAGGAGAGUGGAAUUCCUGGUGUAGCGGUGAAAUGCGCAGAUAUCAGGAAGAACACCCGUGGCGAAGGCGGCUCUCUGGGACGUGACUGACGCUGAGACGCGAAAGCGUGGGGAGCGAACAGG
rnacentral:rRNA from 1 species